rnacentral:tRNA from 1 species
UUAGGCUUAACCUAAAAGGGUUUACCUUGAUGGGGUAAACAAGUAAAAGCCUAAG